UGCAGUCGAACGGCAGCACGGGAGCUUGCUCCUGGUGGCGAGUGGCGAACGGGUGAGUAAUGCGUCGGAACGUACCGAGUAAUGGGGGAUAACGCAGCGAAAGCUGUGCUAAUACCGCAUACGCCCCGAGGGGGAAAGCAGGGGAUCGCAAGACCUUGCGUUAUUCGAGCGGCCGACGUCUGAUUAGCUAGUUGGUGGGGUAAAGGCUCACCAAGGCGACGAUCAGUAGCGGGUCUGAGAGGAUGAUCCGUCACACUGGAACUGAGACACGGUCCAGACUCCUACGGGAGGCAGCAGUGGGGAAUUUUGGACAAUGGGGGCAACCCUGAUCCAGCCAUUCCGCGUGAGUGAAGAAGGCCUUCGGGUUGUAAAGCUCUUUCAGCCGGAACGAAACGGUACGCUCUAACAUAGCGUGCUAAUGACGGUACCGGCAGAAGAAGCACCGGCUAACUACGUGCCA
rnacentral:rRNA from 1 species